UACGAAGGGGGCUAGCGUUGUUCGGAAUUACUGGGCGUAAAGCGCACGUAGGCGGCUUUCUAAGUCGGGGGUGAAAUCCUGGAGCUCAACUCCAGAACUGCCUUCGAUACUGGAGAGCUUGAGUCCGGGAGGAGGUGAGUGGAACUGCGAGUGUAGAGGUGAAAUUCGUAGAAUGAUUCGCAAGAACACCUAGUGGCGAAAGGC
rnacentral:rRNA from 1 species